ACAGAGCAAAUAUCCCUUUGAGGAUGGAGACACAAGAGGCUGCAGAUGACGGAAGCCGGAACAAAUAACUCAGUGGGUCGAGCAGCAUCUGUGGAGGCAGAGGAAUAAUCAACGUUUCAGGUCAAGAUCCUGCAUCAGGACUUCUUAAGAUGUUUCUAACACCACCACCCGUCCCACAGCUUCCAUCCUUCCCCAAUAGCCCUCACCCUGCCAAGUUCCCUUUCCCUGGCACAAAAUCUAUCAGGAAAAGUCGUCCUUUGGCUAACAGGAGAAAUGAGAUGAUAUCAGAACAAAGGAAAAGGAUGAUAAUGUUGCCUUAAAAAACAGCAAGUCUGACGGUUGGGAAAAUUUCAGAAUUCAACAAAGGAGGACCAAGAAAUUGAUGAGGAAAGAGAAAGUAAAUAUAAAAGUGAGAAACAUGAAAACUGACCGUGAAAGUUUCUACAGAUGGAAGAAAGAAAAGAUUGGCAAAGACACCCUGAAACAGGAGAGAUUAUGCUGGGGAAUAAAGAAAUGGCAGAGUAAUUAGACAAAUAUUUUGUCUGUCCUCAUGGAACAAGGCACCGAAAACCUCAAACAACUUGUUGAGAUUGAAUAAAGAGCUCCAAGAAAUUAGCAUUAGUAAACAAAAUAGUUUAGGGGAAAUUAAUCAUUCCACAAGCCAACAAAUCCCCAGGACCCGGGGACUUGCAAUCCCAAGGUUUUGAAAGAGGUGAUCAUGGAGAUAGUGUUUGCACUGGUUGUCAUCAAUUCCAUAGAUUCUUGAGUGGUUCCCACUGACUGGAAGGUGAAAAAUGCAAUCCCUAUACUUAAGGAAACAGAGAACUACAGUUGGACUGAUAUCAUAGUAAGGAAGGAGCUGGAAAAUAUUAUUAAGGAAGUGAUAAUAGGCCACUUACAAAAUAACAAUAGGACUGGACAGAGUCAACAUAGAUUGAGAACAUAUAGCACAGGGACAGGCCCUUCGGCCCACGAUGUCUGUACCAACCAUGAUGCCAAAUUAAACUAAUCCAUUCUGCCUGCACACAUAUCCUUCCAUUCCCUGCAUAUCCAUAUCCUUCCAUCCCUGCAUAUUCAUGUGUCCAUCUAAAAGCUUCUUGAAUGACACUAUUGUAUCUACUUCCACUACCAACCCUGACACCAGGCACCAACCACUCUCUGUGUAAAAAACCUGCCCCUCACAUCCUCUUUAAACUUUCCCCCCUCACCUUAAAGUUAUGCCCUCUAGUAUUCAACAUUUCUACCCUGGGAAAAAUUUCUGGCUAUCUACCCUAUCUAUACCUCUCAUAAUUUUAUUAAUUUCUAUCAGGCCUCCCCUCAGCCUCCGACACUCCAGAGGAAACAAUCCAAGUUUGUCCAACCUCUCCUUAUAGCUCACACCCUCUAAUCCAGGAAGCAUCCUAGUAAAUCUCUUCUGAACUCUCUCCAAAGCCUCCACAUCCUUUCUGUAAUGGGGCGACCAGGCCUGGAAAGAGUGGAGAUGCAGAGGAGACUUCCAUUAGUAGGAGAGUCCAGGAUCCCAGGACACAGCCUCAGGAGCAGGGGGGAGAUGGAAGAAGAAAGAUUGUUUGGGACGUUUUGAAGAUAAAAUAUCUUUAUUAGUCACAUGUACAUCGAAACACACGGUGAAAUGCACCUUUGCGUAGAGUGUUCUGGGGGCAGCCCGCAAGUGUCGCCGCGCUUCCGGCGCCGACAUAGCAUGCCCACAACUUCCUAACCCAUAUGUCUUUGGAAUGUGGGAGGAAACUGGAGCGCCCGGAAGAAACCCAAGGAUCAUGAGUAACUUGACUAACCUUCCCUCCACUCCCCAUCCUCCCUUCAGCACCCUUUUCCACAUCAUUCCCAACUUCUUCUCAUUUCCACCUCACCUCAUUUCCCACCAUCUGUCUUCCCAAUUCCCUUCCCAAACCCUACCCUUUCCUGUCCUUGCCAUAUACCAUAUUAUGAACAAACAUGAACCUCCUCCAUCCUCCUCCCAAUCCUCCCUCCCUCUCCAAGACAUCCUCAUCACCCUCCCCUCAUCACCCUCCCUUCUCCCUUCUCACCUGCCACCUGCCCCAAUCCCACACAUUGCCAGACUCACUCCUCCAGUUCACUGCUCCACCACUCCGUCCCAGAUCUUCCUCACCCCAGCCCCUGCUCAGACCCAUCCCACCUCCCCACAACUGCACACACCCAUUCCUUGCCCUCCAUCUCGAUUCUUCCCUCCUUUUCCCCAAUCCCUUCUCCUCCCCACCCCUCUCCUGUUCAGAGCCUUCCCUCCCCUCUCCACUCAUAACCUUCUCCGAAUGCUUCUCACCCCUAGUCCAACUCUCUCUCUCUCUGUACAUAUAUACUGCAUAUAUGUAUAUGAGUAGGACAGUUUUAAAAGUUGUUUUGUAUCACAUGGCAAGAUGUUUGAUAUAUGGUUGUACCAGACUCUGCUAUACAGUUGGACAUAACAACCUCCAA